rnacentral:RNase_P_RNA from 1 species
GAAGUCGGCUGGACAGUCGCUGCGGUGGCAACACCGUGGAGGAAAGUCCGGGCUCCACAGGGCAGGGUGCCAGGUAACGCCUGGGGGGCGAGAGCCUACGGAAAGUGCCACAGAAAAUAUACCGCCGGGCGCUUCGGCGACCGGUAAGGGUGAAAUGGUGCGGUAAGAGCGCACCGCGCCGCUGGCAACAGCGGUGGCAGGGUAAACCCCACCCGGAGCAAGACCAAAUAGGGGAACAUUGGCGCGGCCCGCGUUGUUCCCGGGUAGGUCGCUUGAGGUGUACGGUGACGUGCAUCCCAGAGGAAUGACUGUUCACGACAGAACCCGGCUUACAGGCCGGCUUCCACU